CUGUCCAAUGGCUGCACUUUCCUCGGGGCUGGCAGAGGAGUCGCCGAGAGAUUAAACCCGGGGAGGAAAGCAAGGGGGAGUGAGAGGGCAACUCCAGCCCGGCGUGCCCCUGGCAGCUCGGCGGCCAGGAGCUCCGGGAGAGGAGGCGAGAAAGGCGAACGAGGAGGGGAGUGCCGGACGGCACCUCGGCGCCGCUCGGGCGCCAUCCCCGCACUCGGCUCGCCCCCACCGGCGGCGGGCCAGCAGCGCCCGCACCCACCUGGCCCUGGGCGGCUCUCACGCCCGUCUGCGGGGCUUCUGCGGCCCAGCAGCCGACCCGGGGGCCACUCGCCGCCGACGGGGUCUUCCUGGGCGCUAAAGGGUUAAUUACAGCUCGCCAUUCCUGGGAGGGCGUGUGCUGCGGAGGUGGGGGGUGCGGAGAAAGCAAACCCAAGCCAAUUCGGUUACUGACCCAGCGAAGCCCUUUCGGACCCCAGACCCGCGGGGCCGGUGGAGGAAGGGAGCGCGCGGCGGCUCGGACCCGCCGUGGCGGCUUUGUUAUAAAGUGUCAGCGGGAGCGAAAGCGAGAGUUUAAAGAAACAGGAGGCCCACAGAAUUUCCUACGGGGGCUUUAACUGGCUUUCGCUGGCUCGUUUGUUUUUGUUUUUUCAGCUCGCGGAAGUGCUUCAGCGUUAACCCUUUCCAACCCUCUCAAGAGUUUACGUCUUGUUUUGAAUAGUUAACUUUAUUUUAACGGGGGUAAAGAUUUACAAAAAAAGAAAGGGAAGCAGCGCAUCGGUUAAAAUUCUAGAACCAGACUGAGUUAGGAUUCCACCUCCCCUACUGAUUAGCUAAAUGGCUUUGUUUUUCUUCGUGUCUCAGUUCCCCAUCCAUCAAAUGGGGAGAAUUGUAGUUAUACCCUUAUAAGGUGCUUGCAUUGGAUUAAAUGCGUUAAUACGGAAUAAUUAAAGAGUUGAGAACAGUGCCUAGCACGAAGUACAUGACUUUAUGCUUCUUAAAGAGAAGAAAGGGAAGGAAGAGGAGAGAAGGCGUUAUAAAUCAAAUGGAGAAGUCGCUCCAAUGUUCUAGAAAUAAAACAUUCAGUGCAGCUCCAUGUCCCAUUUAUACGCAAAAUCAUGGGGACCCAGCAGGAGCCAUUUCAAGAGCAUCUCUUUCUUAGUCUGGAGUGUUUCCCUGUCCCCUUUCACAGUAGAAAAAUGGGUGUUUCCUGCUUUUCAAAGAAGAAACAAGUCCCUGCCUCUCCCGGGGAAACAAAUUAAGAUGUCUCGAAGGAAAAAGUUUCAUCUUCCAUCUCACUAGAAAGAGAAGAGUUACAGACAUUAUUAUUGUUAUUUCAUGGACAGCAAGGAGAUCAAACCAGUCCAUUCUAAAGGA